GAGUUUGAUCGUGGCUCAGAUUGAACGCUGGCGGCAUGCUUUACACAUGCAAGUCGAGCGGGGGUCCAUCCAGUGGCAACACUGGUGAAGACCUAGCGGCGAACGGGUGAGUAACACGUGAGGAACCUGCCCCGAAGACCGGGAUAACCCUCCGAAAGGAGAGCUAAUACCGGAUACCCCCUCCGGACUGCAUGGUCUGGAGAGGAAAUGGAUUCCGCUUCGGGAGGCCUCGCGGCCUAUCAGCUUGUUGGUGAGGUAACGGCUCACCAAGGCGACGACGGGUAGCUGGUCUGAGAGGACGAUCAGCCACACUGGGACUGAGACACGGCCCAGACUCCUACGGGAGGCAGCAGUGGGGAAUCUUGCGCAAUGGGCGAAAGCCUGACGCAGCAACGCCGCGUGGGGGAUGAAGGCUCUCGGGUUGUAAACCCCUUUCAGCAGGGACGAUUAUGACGGUACCUGCAGAAGAAGGACCGGCCAAC
rnacentral:rRNA from 1 species